rnacentral:rRNA from 1 species
GGCGGCGUGCCUAACACAUGCAAGUCGAGCGAGGAGAUUCCCUUCGGGGAUGAACCUAGCGGCGGACGGGUGAGUAACACGUGGGCAACCUGCCUUAUAGAGGGGAAUAGCCUUCCGAAAGGAAGAUUAAUACCGCAUAACAUUACAUUUUCGCAUGAAGAAGUAAUUAAAGGAGUAAUCCGCUAUAAGAUGGGCCCGCGGCGCAUUAGCUAGUUGGUGAGGUAACGGCUCACCAAGGCGACGAUGCGUAGCCGACCUGAGAGGGUGAUCGGCCACAUUGGGACUGAGACACGGCCCAGACUCCUACGGGAGGCAGCAGUGGGGAAUAUUGCACAAUGGGGGAAACCCUGAUGCCAGCAACGCCGCGUGAGUGAUGAAGGUCUUCGGAUCGUAAAGCUCUGUCUUCAGGGACGAUAAUGACGGUACCUGAGGAGGAAGCCACGGCUAACUACGUGCCAGCCGCCGC